AUUGAACGCUGGCGGCAUGCUUUACACAUGCAAGUCGAACGGCAGCGCGGGCUUCGGCCUGGCGGCGAGUGGCGAACGGGUGAGUAAUGCAUCGGAACGUGCCCAGUAGUGGGGGAUAGCCCGGCGAAAGCCGGAUUGAUACCGCAUACGACCUGAGGGUGAAAGCGGGGGACCGAAAGGCCUCGCGCUAUUGGAGCGGCCGAUGUCGGAUUAGCUAGUUGGUGGGGUAAAGGCUUACCAAGGCGACGAUCCGUAGCUGGUCUGAGAGGACGACCAGCCACACUGGGACUGAGACACGGCCCAGACUCCUACGGGAGGCAGCAGUGGGGAAUUUUGGACAAUGGGGGCAACCCUGAUCCAGCCAUGCCGCGUGCGGGAAGAAGGCCUUCGGGUUGUAAACCGCUUUUGUUCGGGAAGAAAUCCUCUGGGCUAAUACCCCGGGGGGAUGACGGUACCGGAAGAAUAAGCACCGGCUAACUACGUG
rnacentral:rRNA from 1 species